GAUGAACGCUGGCGGCGUGCCUAAUACAUGCAAGUCGAGCGAAUGGAUUAAGAGCUUGCUCUUAUGAAGUUAGCGGCGGACGGGUGAGUAACACGUGGGUAACCUGCCCAUAAGACUGGGAUAACUCCGGGAAACCGGGGCUAAUACCGGAUAACAUUUUGAACCGCAUGGUUCGAAAUUGAAAGGCGGCUUCGGCUGUCACUUAUGGAUGGACCCGCGUCGCAUUAGCUAGUUGGUGAGGUAACGGCUCACCAAGGCAACGAUGCGUAGCCGACCUGAGAGGGUGAUCGGGCACACUGGGACUGAGACACGGCCCAGACUCCUACAGGAGGCAGCAGUAGGGAAUCUUCCGCAAUGGACGAAAGUCUGACGGAGCAACGCCGCGUGAGUGAGGAAGGCUUUCGGGUCGUAAAACUCUGUUGUUAGGGAAGAACAAGUGCUAGUUGAAUAAGCUGGCACCUUGACGGUACCUAACCAGAAAGCCACGGCUAACUACGUGCCAGCCGCCGCGGUAA
rnacentral:rRNA from 1 species